GCACUCCUACGGGGGGCAGCAGUGAGGAAUAUUGGUCAAUGGGCGAGAGCCUGAACCAGCCAAGUCGCGUGAAGGAUGAAGGAUCUAUGGUUUGUAAACUUCUUUUAUAUGGGAAUAAAGUGAGGAACGUGUUCCUUUUUGUAUGUACCAUAUGAAUAAGCAUCGGCUAACUCCGUGCCAGCAGCCGCGGUAAUACGGAGGAUCCGAGCGUUAUCCGGAUUUAUUGGGUUUAAAGGGUGCGUAGGCGGUCAGGUAAGUUAGAGGUGAAAGCUCGAUGCUCAACAUCGAAACUGCCUCUGAUACUG
rnacentral:rRNA from 1 species